rnacentral:rRNA from 1 species
UGGGGAAUUUUGGACAAUGGGCGAAAGCCUGAUCCAGCAAUGCCGCGUGCAGGAUGAAGGCCUUCGGGUUGUAAACUGCUUUUGUACGGAACGAAAAAGCUUCUCCUAAUACGAGAGGCCCAUGACGGUACCGUAAGAAUAAGCACCGGCUAACUACGUGCCAGCAGCCGCGGUAAUACGUAGGGUGCGAGCGUUAAUCGGAAUUACUGGGCGUAAAGCGUGCGCAGGCGGUUAUGUAAGACAGAUGUGAAAUCCCCGGGCUCAACCUGGGAACUGCAUUUGUGACUGCAUGGCUAGAGUACGGUAGAGGGGGAUGGAAUUCCGCGUNUAGCAGUGAAAUGCGUAGAUAUGCGGAGGAACACCGAUGGCGAAGGCAAUCCCCUGGACCUGUACUGACGCUCAUGCACGAAAGCGUGGGGAGCAAACAGGAUUAGAUACCCUGGUAGUCCACGCCCUAAACGAUGUCAACUGGUUGUUGGGAAUUAGUUUUCUCAGUAACGAAGCUAACGCGUGAAGUUGACCGCCUGGGGAGUACGGCCGCAAGGUUGAAACUCAAAUGAAUUG